rnacentral:rRNA from 1 species
UACGUAGGGUGCAAGCGUUGUCCGGAAUUAUUGGGCGUAAAGAGCUCGUCGGCGGCUUGUCGCGUCGGCUGUGAAAACCUGGGGCUCAACCCCGGGCCUGCAGCCGAUACGGGCAAGCUAGAAUUCGGUAGGGGAGACUGGAAUUCCUGGUGUAGCGGUGAAAUGCGCAGAUAUCAGGAGGAACACCGGUGGCGAAGGCGGGUCGCUGGGCCGAAAUUGACGCUGAGGAGCGAAAGCGUGGGGAGCAAACAGG